CAUCCGGUACAGUGCCCUUGGGGCGCUGUUGCUGCUGCUGCGGUUGCUCGGGCCGAGGGCGCGGCUUCGCUUGCUCAGUGCGCUGACGAGGCAGUUCAGUGCGCUGAUCCUCCAGGCGAGACCCCUGUAAAAAAGUUUACCUGUAUGAGAGAUAACUGCUCCAUGCUCUGGCGCCUCACUCGAAGCGCGUUGAAAGGCGUGCGAGGCGCGCUGUCGUCGUCGGAGGUCGGCGCAGGAGGCGACUCCGUCUCCGCUGGCAUCCCAAGCACCUUACGCAGAUCGCUGAUGUUCAUCUGAGCCGUCGCCAUUCCGAGAACGUCACCAAGCUGCAGACAACAAACAAACACAUUUAUGUAACAUACAAAUAAUUAUAGCCUCAACUGUUUAAAGAUUCAAAAUGUGAAGUGUAAAUAUUCUGAGAAAGGUGUAAAUAUAGAGGCCAUUUUUAUGGAA